rnacentral:rRNA from 1 species
UACAGAGGUCUCAAACGUUGUUCGGAUUCAUUGGGCGUAAAGGGUGCGUAGGCGGCGCGGUAAGUCGGGUGUGAAAUCUCGGGGCUUAACUCCGAAACUGCAUUCGAUACUGCCGUGCUUGAGGACUGGAGAGGAGACUGGAAUUUACGGUGUAGCGGUGAAAUGCGUAGAUAUCGUAAGGAAGACCAGUGGCGAAGGCGGGUCUCUGGACAGUUCCUGACGCUGAGGCACGAAGGUCAGGGGAGCAAACGGG